CUGAAACUCGCUGUGAGAAAGGAGAACUUUCUGAGACCUAUGCCGGCGUGCUAGUCGUGGAUCGUAUUUCUUCUUUUUGUCAAACCAGUACGAGCAGGAGAGAGUUUUGCCAAGUUCAUUUAAUCUCUGUUAAUAAGCCUUUACACGUUAGGUUCUCUUUCUGUACAGAUUAAAAGACCAGUAAACGCCAA